ACACGCACUUUUCAGAAGUCACGUCAGUCUGGAAAGAGGAGCUCGACCCACCUGAUGAUCCUUGGCUCAAUCCGCUCCACUUUAUUCACCGCAUUAAUCUACCUCUGACAGCAAACCCAUAUUUUAGAGUAUUUUAAAAGAGUGGCGCGGUCACUGUCAAGCCUAAAUUGCACUAUCAUUUUUAUUAUUAUUUGUUUUUGCACUUGAGCGUUUCGUGAGGAUGCAUACCACGCAAAAGGACACCACUUACACCAAGAUAUUUGUCGGCGGUCUUCCGUAUCAUACGACGGAUUCCAGCCUGAGGAAAUAUUUUGAAGUGUUUGGGGAGAUUGAAGAAGCUGUGGUGAUUACCGACAGACAGACUGGAAAGUCCAGGGGUUAUGGAUUUGUGACGAUGGCGGAUCGCUCGGCUGCAGACAGAGCCUGUAAAGACCCAAACCCCAUCAUCGACGGCAGGAAGGCUAAUGUUAACCUGGCUUAUCUCGGAGCCAAGCCACGGGUCAUGCAGCCAGGUUUUACCUUCGGUGUCCCUCAGAUUCACCCUGCUUUCAUCCAGAGACCAUAUGGGCUCGAUUCGGGUUAAGAUAACUGGUGGUUUGAGGAAUAGCUGUGCGAGCUUUAGCUACAGUACCUGUAGACUCAAACACACACAAACGAGCUCGAAAAAUGGAUCCCCACUCACUACGUGUACCCACAGGCCUUCAUGCAACCAAGUGUGGUUAUUCCUCACAUCCAGCCAACAGCAACCUCCGCCACUGCAUCUUCACCAUACAUCGACUACACCGGCG